UGGGGAAUAUUGGACAAUGGGGGCAACCCUGAUCCAGCAAUGCCGCGUGUGUGAAGAAGGCCUUCGGGUUGUAAAGCACUUUAGUUGGGCAGGAAGGUAUGUAUUUUAAGAGAUAACAUAUUUGACUGUACCCAAAGAAUAAGCACCGGCUAACUCUGUGCCAG
rnacentral:rRNA from 1 species